rnacentral:lncRNA from 1 species
AAAAAAACUAAGUCCUUUUUUGAAAUAAUAGUGAUUUGGGAGGAUAGUCUGUUACAUUUAUGUCUUUACUUAAAAAAAAUGGCAACCCUUUAUUGGUUAUUCUUUUUACUUGCUUAAUUUUACUGUUCUAUAAAGUUAGAGAAUAAAAGUAGAUUACUCGUCUGUGAGUACAAAGAGGGCUGUAGAUGGAGAUUAAAGAAAAAUUUGAGUGGAUAGCCAGUUGAGGGAUAGGUUGAAGAUAGAGGAGAGCAGAAUGAAAGUUGAUUAAGUUAUUAGAUAUGCUGAAAUGCGUACUAACAGUUAUGGAAAGAUUUUCUUCAGGGACCUUCUUCAACUUGGGAGAAAAUGAAAGAGGACAGAUUUGGUGUCUGGUUGGGUGAGGGGAAAAUCAAAUUCACUUGAGAUGACCCAUUAAAAAAAAAAUCAAAUCCAUGUUUUGAGGAUCAGGGAAGGAAGAUGGGUGGACAUGGUUAGGCGUAGAGUUAGGUGUCUUGUCAAUAAUAAAGGUUUGAAGGAGCAGCUGGGGAUAGUUGGGAUUUUAUUUAGAGCCCAGCUGAAGUAAAACUGUUUUAAAAAUUAUUUUUAUUUUUUACUCCUAUGGCAUCGCAAGAAGUAAAACUAUGAACUUAAUGAAAUUACUCAUAUUUCUUCUGGGUAUUAACAUAUGAGACAAUUUUGAAAGAAAAUUGAGCUUAAAGUAGAUGAAGCAAAUUAUUGAUUAGAUAAAAUUUUAAAAUGAGCAGGUAAAAGGGGUCUUUGGUGGCAAAAAGAAAAACAGGCAAAAAUAUUCUAUUUCUCUGUAAUUUUGAUGAGUGAGGCAUUUCACAUUCAUCUGUCUUCCUAAAGGAGGAUGUCAUCAGCAAAUCUAGGGGCACACAGAACACACCUAGUUGAGCACAGUGCUUGCAGAAUAAAUUUCAACUCCUUUUUUGAAAACAAUCCAGUCCAAGUAUUCCAAUCCUUUUUUUUAAAGUUGCUGUUCCCAGUCAGUAUUUGAUAUAUUUGACAUUAUUCUCCCUCAUUCAAAAGUGUUUUGUGGCCCCAGGUGGGUAGUAGGGGUGGGUUGAUUGGUUUCUUUAAAAUUAAGUCCGUCUAUAACCAUAAUACACAGACAAAGAGAAGAGAGACACAUUUGCUUUACUGCACAAGUGGGACAAGAUCAAUUAACAUGUAUUUAAAAAAUUUAAAAAUACCUGCUAGGUGUUAUGUCAGUUUGAUAGUUGCGUCAAGCAGCCCUUUAUCAUCAAGGAGACUUGAAGACUUGAGGAAUGCAUAGUAAGCCACGUGUGUUACAUGAGACAGGGGGAAAAUCACCUAACUUUCCAAAACACUGAAUUUUGAUUGUGUGAUUUCAUUCACACAAAUAAAACAUGGUGUGUGUGUCUUGCCUGUGUUGUUGCCUAUCUGGGAGCCAUGCUCUAAGAACAGGUUUCUCAUGUUAGUCCACUGGCUGAGGUAAAUCCUCACAUUACAUGACAGUCAUUGUGUCCCUGCAACCCAGAAGUGCACUCUGAACAGGACAGAGUAACAGAGCAGGAGAAGGAAAAGUUGUACAUAGCUGCAGAAGGUUGCCUUGACCUUGAUUAUCUUAGGAGGGCAGAAUACAUUUCUCUCACACUUGAGACCCUGGGCUACUGCCUAGCCCUGGCUGUUCUGAACUGCUCAAAGAAUUAGUGCUAUGUUUAGAAAAUGCCCUAUUUUUCUUUUCUUUAAAUUAUUAUUAUACCUUAAGUUCUAGGGUACAUGUGCACAAUGUGCAGGUUUGUUACAUAUGUAUACAUGUGCCAUGUUGGUGUGCUGCACCCAUUAACUCGUCAUUUACAUUAGGUAUAUCUUCUAAUGCUAUCCCUCCCCCCUCCCCCUGAGGGCCCUGAACAGGCCCCAGUGUGUGAUGUUCCCCUUUCUGUGUCCAUGUGUUCUCAUUGUUCAAUUUUCACCUAUGAGGGGGAACAUGGGCUGUUUGGUUUUUUGUCCUUGAGAAAGUUUGCUGAGAAUGAUGGUUUCCAGCUUCACCCAUGUCCCUACAAAGGACAUGAACUCAUCCUUUUUUAUGGCUGCAUAGUAUUCCAUGGUGUAUAUAUGCCACAUUUUCUUAAGCCAGUCUAUCAUUGAUGGACAUUUGGGUUGGUUCCAAGUCUUUGCUAUUGUGAAUAAUGCCGCAAUAAACGUGU